AAUUAACACAAAGCACAACCAAUUUCAAGCUAAACAAGCCCUGUGGAGAAGACAAUUGCUGAAGAGAAAAUCAAGAUGUCAGAGGCUCUGAUCUCCUUUCAAAGGCUUAUUGCCAAAAUAAUUUGCCUGACAACCUCUGUGACUGGCAGGACUCGACUGACGAAAGGCCACGGAGUACAGAGAAUCAUCUUGGUCUCUCACAUGGCUUAACCCUGGAGCUUGAGGGCUCGAGGUUUCUUUCUGCCUUCUUAAUUGAGGGUUCCCCCUCACCAAAUCGAUGCAAAGGAUCAGACGCAAGAGAGGACCUACCCAAGCGCCAUAACCUGUACCACUGCCACUGAGAAGCAAAAGGAUAAAACACCAUGCAAGCCACCAAGUGUGUGGAUAGGGAAACGGCAAACUAAAACGUUGCGCAUGUCCCAACCCAGCGAUUUAUAGUGCGGUGGACCCUUCACAACAUAAGCCAACCCCUUAUUCUCAUUCUUGAUCGAUGUAUUUGGGAAAGGUAUUCUAAUUUUACCAAGAAUUGCCAUGUGGUCCAAUAUUUUCCAGCAGAGAAUCUUGAGCAUUCAUGCUCCAAGGACAGGUCAUGUGGGAGACCGAGGUCUCCUUCUGCCUCUUCAGAUGAGAUCCCCCCUCACCAAAGCACUACAAAGGCUCAGACCCUUUUCUAUAACGGAAGCAAGUAUGACACAUUUCAUUUGUGUGAGUGCAACCAUAUCCGUAGGCUAGUUGGAUUUCCGAAGAACAAGAAGUGAUUAAUAGGUUUUUAAUCCUCUCUUCUAUUUCAUUUGUUUCCUGUUAUAGUCUUGUCCAGUCAAUUCUACGCAAGUAUCCAUAAACUUUGCCAAUCUUGUAUUUUCUGACAAACCAUUGAUAUAUAUUUUCUUGACACCAAGAAUAAAGAUACUGCAGUGAAAAGUCAUUCUUGCCUGAGUUGCAGAAGUUGGAACCACUAUAUUAAACAGAGGGGGCUUUGCAGAUGGAUCAUUU